rnacentral:rRNA from 1 species
AUGGCAUCAUCAUCGUCCCAGUUCGCAUUCUCCCUGCACGACGGCAGCCUCACCGUCGGCGGAGCCGUGCUCCUCUCCGGCGUGCCGUCCAACGUCGCGCUCUCGCCGUUCACGAUCGACCCGUCGUCCUCCGACGCGCCGGCGCACCUUCUCGAGCAGGCCACGGCCGGGGCAGGCCGUGGCGCCUUCCUCGGCUUCACGGCCCCGGCCGCCACCGACCGCGCGCCGUGCCGCAUCGGCCUGUUGGCCGGCCGGAGGUUCCUCAGCGUGUUCCGCUUCAAGACGUGGUGGAGCACCAUGCACGCCGGCGACCGCGGCCGCGACGUGCAGCCCGAGACGCAGUGGGUGCUCCUCGACGCCCCCGAGCUCGGCCCCGGCGGGUGCGUCUUCGUGCUCCCGCUCGUGCAGGGCAGCUUCCGCUCCGCCAUCUUCCCCUCCGAGGACGUCGAGGACGGACUCGUGCUCUGCGCCGAGAGCGGGUCGCCGGCUGUCACCGGCUCGGACUUCGGGCGCAUAGCCUACGUGCACGCCGGCACCGACCCCUACAAGGUCAUCCGCGAGGCCUACGUGGCCGCCCGGGUGCACCUCGGCACCUUCAAGCUCAUGGAAGAAAAGGCCCUGCCGCCCAUGGCGGAGCGGUUCGGGUGGUGCACCUGGGACGCGUUCUACCUCACCGUCGACCCCGCCGGCGUCUGGCAGGGCGUCUCGGAGUUCACCGACGCCGGCGUGCCGCCCCGCUUCAUCGUUAUCGACGACGGCUGGCAGAGCGCGAAUCGUGACGACGACCCGCCACAUGCCGACACGCCGGGGCUCGUCCUCUGCGGCGAGCAGAUGACGGCACGCCUCUACCGCUUUGACGAGGGCGAGCGCUUCAGGCGGUACAGGGAGGGCGAUCUGCUGCGUUGCCCGCCGGAGCUCUUCUACGACAAGAACCUGCCCAAGACGGUCGUCCGCAAGGCCUGCGAGAUCGAGGGCAUCCUCAACGCCAGGAAGAAGGCGGCGGCCACCGAGAUGUCAAGCUUGGACGCAAAACUCGAGCAGCUGCGGCGGGAGCUGGAGCAGCUGCUCGCCAAGAGCGCGGACGUCCUCGACAAGCUCCGCAGCCGGGCUGAAGGUGGCGACGGCGGCGAGGUGGGGCUGAAGGCGUUCCUCAAGGACAUGAGGCAGAGGUUCCCAUCGCUGGACGACGUGUACGUGUGGCAGGCGCUCUGCGGCGCGUGGGGCGGCGUGCCCCGCGCGCCUCUCCCCCGGCCUGGCGGCACCAUGGACGACCUGGCCGUGGACCGCAUCGUGGAGGGCGGCAUCGGGCUGGUGCAGCCGCAGCACGCCGGGAAGCUGUACGACGCCAUGCACUCGUACCUGGCCGGCUCCGGGGUUACGGGCGUGAAGGUGGACGUGAUGAACACGCUGGAGUACGUGUGCGCGGAGCACGGCGGCCGCGUGGAGCUCGCCAAGGCCUACUACGCCGGGCUGUCGGAGUCCAUCGCGGCCAACUUCGAAGGCACGGGCAUGAUCGCGAGCAUGGAGCAGUGCAACGACUUCUUCUUCCUGGGGACGAGGCAGGUGGGCAUGGCGCGCGCCGGCGACGACUUCUGGUUGGGCAACGGCGACGACGCAUACUGGCUGCAGGGCGUGCACAUGGUGAACUGCUCGUACAACAGCCUGUGGAUGGGCCAGUUCGUGCGGCCGGACUGGGACAUGUUCCAGUCGGACCACGUCUGCGCCGUCUUCCACGGCGCCUCCCGCGCCGUCUCCGGCAGCCCCCUCUACGUCAGUGACUCGCUGGGAUGCCAUGACUUUGCCCUGCUCAAGACCCUCGUGUUCCCGGACGGUACCCUGCCGCUGUGCCUCCACUAUGCACUGCCCACCAGGGACUGCCUCUUCAAGAACCCUCUCUCGGACCAGGAGACUGUCCUCAAGAUGUGGAACCUCAACAACUUUGGAGGCGUGAUCGGGGCGUUCAACUGCCAGGGAGCCGGAUGGGACCCGGCGGAGCGCCGCAUCCGAGGCCACGCGCACUGCUACAAGCCGGUCUCCGGCGAGGUCCACCCGACCGACGUCGAGUGGUGGCAGAGGGAAGAGACGGCAGGCAUGGCCGACGCGGCGGAGUACGCCGUGUACAAGCACCACUCUGGGNNNNNNNNNNNNNNNNNNNNNNNNNNNNNNNNNNNNNNNNNNNNNNNNNNNNNNNNNNNNNNNNNNNNNNNNNNNNNNNNNNNNNNNNNNNNNNNNNNNNACCGCACCUAA